rnacentral:lncRNA from 1 species
CAAGUAAAUGACCAGAUAACUGGAUAUAUAUAUGAUAAGUAAAUGCUUGAACAAAUAUAUGAAUAAAGAUUUAAAGCAAUGAAUAUAACCUCAGAUGGUUGACCAGAUAAAUGGAUGAGGGAUCUGCGUAAAGUAGUCAACCUCUGUAUUUGACCAGAUAACUAGAAGAGGGAUCCUUUUUAAUUAAGUGUUGUUUUUAGAUAUUUUAGAUAAAAGAUAAAACUAUAAUUAACAGAGAACAACACAAGAGAUUUAUACUGGUUCACCCAAACAAGGGCUAGUCCAGUCCCGACCAACUGCCGGAAUUCACUCGCCUAAAGGUUAUGGCAAAACCUUAGAGUAUCAAGGAAACUCUUAAAAACCUCUCUAAGCUUUAAGGCUACUUCGCUUAGGAACCAGUCUUUUACGGGUAGACUCACACCUUAGAGUAUCAAGGGCACUCUUAAGAACCUCUAACUUUUGCGGGUAAGUUAGUACCUUAGAGUAUCAAGGAACUCUUAGAGUAUCAAGGAACUCUUAAAAACCUCUCUAAGCUUUAAGGCUACUUCGCUUAGGAACCAGUCUUUUACGGGUAGACUCACACCUUAGAGUAUCAAGGGCACUCUUAAGAACCUCUAACUUUUACGGCUAAGUUAGUACCUUAGAGUAUCAAGGAACUCUUAAAAACCUCUGAAAUCUUUAAAGGUAGACUCGACCUAAGAGUUUUUCCGGAAACUCUAUAAAACCAAACUAGAGCUUUAUGGUUGAGCUCAAAAACCUUCUCUCACACUUUGGUACUAUUGAGACAACCCUCUCAACCAAAGUGGACACACACGAGAGGUGAUUAGAGGAGUGGAAUAUUAAAGCAAACAACACUUCUUACUUGUAAAGAUGAACAAGAAGAUUAGAAAAAGAAGUUGGAGAGCUUUUGAAGUUUUGGAAAGCUAGGACACUUGAGCACUUGAAAGCUUGAAAGCUUGGAGGCAAAAACGUGUGGACAAGUGUGGAGUGAAAGCUCUUGAGUUUGCUUGUAGUGUGGUGAGUGAAAAUGAGGGGAUUACCCUUCUAUUU